UGUGGCACAAUUUUGACUCUGAUUGCUAUCAAAGCUCGUGUCCUUGUGUAUUUGAUGUAUAUAAUUUCAUAUAUUUUUGGUAGUGCAUAAAAAUUAAAAUAAUAGAUAAUCCACUGGUCUAUACUCACCCACGAAAUUGUGUAUGCUGAUGUGGCAAAGAAAAUUCUAUAACAAAAAAGGAUGCAAUUCAACAUCAUUGGGCUUCAUAGCACUUCAAUAUGUGGC
rnacentral:lncRNA from 1 species